rnacentral:rRNA from 1 species
CACGUAGUUAGCCGUGGCUUUCUCACAGAGUACCGUCACUUUCUCCUUCCUCUGCGACAGAAGUUUACAACCCGAAGGCCGUCAUCCUUCACGCGGCGUUGCUGCGUCAGGGUUUCCCCCAUUGCGCAAUAUUCCCCACUGCUGCCUCCCGUAGGAGUCUGGGCCGUGUCUCAGUCCCAAUGUGGCCGAUCAACCUCUCAGUUCGGCUACUGAUCGUCGACUAGGUGGGCCGUUACCCCGCCUACUAUCUAAUCAGACGCGAGUCCAUCUGUAAGCGAUAAAUCUUUCAAAGCUUCCCCAUGCGGAAAAACUUCAAUAUGCGGUAUUAGCACAGAUUUCUCUGUGUUAUCCCCCUCUUACAGGCAGGUUACUCACGCGUUACUCACCCGUCCGCCGCUCUCCACAAAACGACUUCACCCCGAAGGGAUCAGUCUCUUGUUUCCCGCUCGACUUGCAUGUGUUAGGCACGCCGCCAGCGUCUCUCGUGCACGGAUCGAAACUCUCUAC